CAUUCACCCCAAACCCAAAUGGGGUUUUCUCCUCUCAGUGCAUUCACCCCAAACCCAAAUGGGGUUUUCUGUUUCCAACACCCUCACCCCAAAUCCAGAGCGGAUCUUCCCAUUCCAAUCUAUUCACCCCAAACCCAAAUGGGGUUUUCUGUUUCCAACACCCUCACCCCAAAUCCAGAGCGGGUUUUGCCAUUCCAAUCUAUUCACCCCAAACCCAAAUGGGAUUUCCCACACAGUUACCCCAAAUCCAAAUGGGGUUUUCCUUUCCAACGCAUUCACCCCAAACCCAAAUGGGAUUUCCAUUUCCAAUUCAUUCACCCCAAACCCAAAUGGGGUUUUGCCAUUCCAAUGCAUUCACCCCAAACCCAAAUGGGGUUUUCUCCUCUCAGAACAUUCACCCCAAACCCAAAUGGGGUUUUCUCCUCCCAACACAUUCACCCCAAACCCAAAUGGGGUUUUCCUUUCCAACGCAUUCACCCCAAACCCAAAUGGGGUUUUCCUUUCCAACGCAUUCACCCCAAACCCAAAUGGGAUUUCCAUUUCCAAUUCAUUCACCCCAAACCCAAAUGGGGUUUCAAAUUCCAACACAUUCACCCCAAACCCAAAUGGGGUUUUCCCCUCCCAACGUAUUCAUCCCAAAUCCAAAGCGGAUUUUCCCAUUCCAGUGCAUUCACCCCAAACCCAAAUGGGGUUUUCCGUUUCCAACACCCUCACCCCAAAUCCAGAGCGGGUUUUGCCAUUCCAAUCUAUUCACCCCAAACCCAAAUGGGAUUUCCCACACAGUUACCCCAAAUCCAAAUGGGGUUUUCCUUUCCAACGCAUUCACCCCAAACCCAAAUGGGAUUUCCAUUUCCAACGCAUUCACCCCAAACCCAAAUGGGAUUUCCAUUUCCAACGCAUUCACCCCAAACCCAAAUGGGAUUUCAAAUUCCAACGCAUUCACCCCAAAUCCAAAUGAGGUUUUGCCAUUCCAAUGCAUUCACCCCAAACCCAAAUGGGGUUUUCUCCUCUCAGAACAUUCACCCCAAACCCAAAUGGGGUUUUUCUCCUCCCAACGUAUUCAUCCCAAACCCAAAUGGGGUUUUCUCCUCCCAAAACAUUCACCCCAAACCCAAAUGGGGUUCUCCUUUCCAACACAUUCACCCCAAACCCAAAUGGGGUUUUCCCUCCCGGCCCCAUUUGCCCCGCAGUGCCCUCAGUGCGCAUCCCGGACUGCUGUGUGCACAGAGGGCUCUUAAUGAGCCAAUAAUCCUUAAUGGGAUUGAAUUGCCUCUUUAUGAGCGCUAAUUACAGAGAUGCGGCAAUUAACGCCGUACAAUUAACGCAGCUCUGCUCACUGUAAGGGCUGAGCGGUGAUGUGACCCCAUGGCCACCGCUAUGGGCAGCGGACCCACACUGUGCUGACACUGACCCCGACCCUACAACCCUG
ensembl:lncRNA